CACAGGUUGAGGAAGUUGCCCUUCAGCUUUAAUGGGGGAAGGAUUCCACUGUCUUGCUGCAUUUACUGUGAGCUGAAUAUUAUUUGCAAAAAGAGAAAACGAAGCAAUCCAAUGGAAAUCAGUUGGAUUCUAUUCCAGAGUGUAGAAUAAGGACUAUCUACUUUGAAACUCCCUGUGCAUUUCCUGAAAUCAAUUCAUUCACUUAUGAAACAGGCUCUACUUAUGACUUGCAAUUGGAAAUUAUUAGCCUUGAUUUCAAGUCUGGGUUAGAGACUCUAAUGAAGGAAAAACCUAUCAAAGCUAUUUUUCUUGGUACACGAAUUGGCGACCCUAAUGCGGUUGGCCAAGAGCAGUUCUCUCCUAGCUCGCUAGGAUGGCCCCCUUUCAUGAGGGUGAAUCCUAUCUUGGAUUGGUCAUACAGGGAUGUGUGGGCUUUCUUAUUGACCUGCAAGGUUCAGUACUGCAGCUUAUAUGACAAGGGGGAAUACGUUGAAAUACUAUUGCUUCUUAGAUUCCAUUUUUGACUUUGUCUAUCUGCUCUAUAUCACCCCUCAUACAAAGAAUGCCAAACUGA